UACGAAGGGUGCAAGCGUUAAUCGGAAUUACUGGGCGUAAAGGGCGCGUAGGCGGACGUUUAAGUCGGGGGUGAAAGCCCGGGGCUCAACCUCGGAAUUGCCUUCGAUACUGGACGUCUUGAGUACGGGAGAGGUGAGUGGAACUCCGAGUGUAGAGGUGAAAUUCGUAGAUAUUCGGAAGAACACCAGUGGCGAAGGCGACUCACUGGCCCGUUACUGACGCUGAGGCGCGAAAGCGUGGGGAGCAAACAGG
rnacentral:rRNA from 1 species